rnacentral:lncRNA from 1 species
AGGCGGGGCAACAAAGCCUGUGGCCGAUGUGGCGCUCCUCGGCCCGCGCUUCAGUGGUUAUGACAGUGUUCGCUCUAAGGGGAGAAGGAAUGUGUGACCAUUUCCAACGGUUAACUUGCAUUCCCCAGAUAGUUUGGAUGAGUUACAACCUAAAUCUGCAAACUCAAUACAGCCAGACCCUGGGAAGUGACUCUCUCCAAGCCUCCUGUACAAGUCCCAGGAAAAGAGCCUGUUUUCCCUUGGACAUAGAUAGUGUCUCGCUAUGUUGCCCACGCUGGUCUGGAAUUCCUGGACUCAAGGCCUCUUCCUGCCCUCAGACUUCCAAAGUGUUAGGAUUACAGGGUGAGUCACCACGCCCAGCCAGUGUGAAUUUUCUAAUGCUGAGUAAGUUGUGAUCCAGAAGUAAAUGUAUCUGCAAGCUGAUUUAAAUUGUAGAUUUUCUCUUCAUUGCAUAUUUUCUGAUGUUGAAUAAAGUCUGAGUAUUAACUAAAGUUUUUGCUUCUUAAAUAUGUAAGAAUUGUCCUCAAAAUCUCUAUUCUUGAGCACAGUAGUAAAAAUAUUUUUACAUACAUUGUAUUUCAAGGGUUCUGCAUAAGCAACCUUGUUUUAUUGUGACAAUUUAUUUGGGAAUUGUAUCAAAUAUAUAAUACUGAGAUGUUCUCAUUCCUUUUGUGAAAAUACUUUUGUUUAAAAACCACUGCCUUCAAAUGAAAACCACUAGGUUUGUUAUGCUUGCCUCAUCUUUUCUCGGUGUUUUUCUUUCAUUUUUUAAAAAUACAUGUCUUUCUUUUUUAUACCUAAAACAGUGGGUUUUUAAAAUGUGAUAUGUGUAUGCGUUGUAUAAUGGUUACCACAAUCAACUAAUACAUCCAUCACCAUCCAUACUGUACCUUAGAUCUGCAGAACUUGUUCAUCGUAGAAUGUUUUUACCUUUUAGGUCAGACGUGGUGGCUCACGUCUGUAAUCCUUGCACUUUGGGAGGCCAAGGUGGGUGGAUUGCCAGAGCUCGGGAGUUCAAGACCAUCCUGGGAAACAUAGUGAAACCCUGUCUCUACUAAAAAUACAAAAAAUUACCCACGUGUGGUGGUGCGCACCUGUAGUCCCAGUUACUUGGGAGGCAGAGGCACGAGAAUCAUUUGAACCUGGGAGGCAGAGGUUGCAGUGAGCUGAGAUCGUGCCGCUGCACUCCAGCCUGGGCGACAGAGCAAGACUCUGUCUCCAAAAAAAAAAAAGAGUGUUUUUAUUUUUUGACCAACAUCUCUCCAUUUCCUGUCUCCCACUCCUGCAUCCCCAGUCCUUGGUAACCACUGUUCUACUCUCUGUUUCUAUGAGUUCAACUUUUUAAGAUUUCACCUUUAAGUGAGAUAAUGCAGUAUUUGUCAUUCUGUGUCUAGUUUAUUUCAUUUAGCAUACUAUCUUCCAGGUUCCUUUUUCCCUCUGUGUCUCAAGUCCACCUUUGCAUUGUCACUUUCUUUUCUGAAAUGAAAAUGGUAUUGUGGCUAUUACCUAGCUAGAUACCAACUAUGGGCUUUGUAGUAUCUGGAUUAGCUGUAAUGUACAUGUGAAUGAUGACUAGUAAAAUAUAUAUAGUAGGAAAAAUGAUGCAAUUCAAAAAGCAAGAACACAAGUAUAAAUAAGCCUAAGAAGGUUGGACAUCAUCUAUAUAAAGGAAAAUAAACUGUACUCCUUAGUGAAGACUUAAUACUGUAAAACCUGGCCGGGCACGGUGGCUCACGCCUGUAAUCCCAGCACUUUGGGAGGCCGAGGCGGGCAGAUCAUGUCAGGAGAUCGAGACCAACCUGGCUGACAUGGUGAAACCCCGUCUCUACUAAAAAUAUAAAAAAAUUAGCCGGGCAUGGUAGCGGGUGCCUGUAGUCCCAGCUACUCGGGAGGCUGAGGCAGGAGAAUGGCAUGAACCCAGGAGGCAGAGCUUGCAGUGAGCCGAGAUCACGCCACUGCACUCUAGCCUGGGCAAGAGCGAGACUCCGUCUCAAAAAAAAAAAAACCGAAAUUGUCCCUAAGCCUAAUUGAUAGAUUUAAGGCAAUUUAACCAAUAUGCUAAAUGGGAUCAGGGGCCUAUAGUACAAUUAUACUUCAUUUUAAUUGGCAGAAAAAAUAUAUGAACAACUAAGAGUAUUUGGUGGAUAGAGGUAACAUGGGAAGACUCAUCUUACAAGAUAUUAGAGGGCAUUAUAAACUAAAGUAAAUAAUGUGGCAUAGAGCAGAAUUAGAUCACUGAAACAAAAAAAUCCAGAAUCAGAAUAUAUGGAAUGUGGAGUCCUGAUAAGUAAGCAACAAGAAGGAAGGGGUCCCAGGUGAGAGAGAACAAUUGUUCUAUAGAUGGCUAAUUGCAGACAACCUGCUGGCACACAUCCUGUUCCCAGAUACCUUGUUUUGCAUGUGGCCUUUCCAGCACAACCUUAUAAAACUUAAAACCUCCAGCCCCUGCCUCUCAGACAGCCUCUUCUCUGCUGUGCUGCCCAUUGAACCCUUACAACGUAUCUUCAAACUUUCUCUGAUAAAUCUGCCUUUCUUUACCUAUGACUGUUUUGGCAAAAUUCCUUUACUGUCCACAACACCAUCCCCACUCAGUUGUACCCAAGACAGGGAAGACUAAAUGUCUGACGUUUACCUUAAAAAGUAUGAAAAAAUAAGUUGAGAGGGGCCAAGCAUGGUGGCUCACGCCUAUAAUCCCAACACUUUGGGAGGCUGAGGUGGGAGGAUGGCUUGAACCUAGGAGUUUGAGACCAGCCUGGGCAACAUAGUAAGACCUCAUCACUACCAAAAAAAAAAAAAAAAAUCUGGGCAUGGUGGUGUGUGCCUGUAGUCCCAGCUACUUAGGAAGCUAAGGUGGGAGAGUCACUUGAGCGCCAGAGCUUUGAGGCUGCAGUGAGGCUUGAUCAUGCCACUGCACUCCAGCCUGGGCAACAGGGUGAGACCCUGCUGCAAAAAAAAAUUAUUAUAAACCUACUUAUGCUAAGUUAUAAUGGUUGACAAAAACGUCAGUAGAAGGCAGAGUUCCAAUGUAUAUCCAUGUAUGUAUUGAAAAUUAAAGGUGUUUUCAGUUUGUGAAAAUUGACAGGAUUGAUGUGAUAUAAAUCUGUAAGGAAAAAAUCCUGGACCCCUACAUAUUAUAUAUAAUGACAAAUUCCAAGUGGAUUAAAAUUAAAUAUGAAAAAUAAUAAAAUAUAUACGGGCUGGGUGUGGUGGCUCACGCCUAUAAUCCCAGCACUUUGAGAGGCCGAGGCAGGUGGAUCACGAGGUCAGGAGAUUGAGACCAACCUGGCCAACAUGGUGAACCCCUGUCUCUACUAAAAAUACAAAAAUUAGCUGGGCGUGGUGGCACCUGCCUGUAGUCCCAGCUACUCGGGAGGCUGAGGCAGAAGAAUCGCUUGAACCCGGGAGGUGGAGGUUGCAGUGAGCCGAGAUGAUGCCACUACACUCCAGCCUGGUGACAGAGUGAGACUCUGUCUCAAAAAUAAAUAAAUUAUAUAUAUAUGAAUAUUAUAUAACAUCAUGAUGGAGCAUAAACCAGAAGGACAACCCUGAAGCCAUAAAGUAAAUCCUAGACUUCAUUUAAAAAUGUAUAUAUAUUGGAGACAGUGUCACUCUGUCACCCAGGCUGGAUUGCAGUGGCAUGAUCUCAGCUCACUGCAACCUCUGCCUCCCAGGUUCAAGGGAUUCUCCUGCCUCAGCCUUCUGAGUAGCUGGGAUUACAGGCAUGUGCCACCACACCCAGAUAAUUUUGUAUUUUUAGUAGAGGUGGGGAUUCUCCAUGUUGGUCAGGCUGGUCUGGAACUCCCGACCUCAGGUGAUCCGCCUGCUUUGGCCUCCCAAAGUGCUGGGAUUACAGGCGUGAGUCACCGCGACCGGCCGGUUUUAGGUAUUCUUUAGAUGACAGUUGGUUGAGAGAGUUAAGCUGUUGUCUGAAGACAUGAAGUCAGUAGAAAGGAAUGCUUGAGUUAAGAUAAGGGGGUUAUGGGGGCUGAGGACCUUGUUAUGUAGAUGAAGGUUCCUAAGUAGCAGCCCUCAGAGAGAAUAGAUGGUAAAUGUCUCUUUCAGACCUUAAAGACAUCAGACUGGCAGUUAAUCUCUCCUAGAUCUGGAAAAGGCCUAGAAAGGGAAGGCCUGGGUGCAUUAAUGGAGAUUCUCUACCAAUGCAAAUUUCCACUGCAAAAGGCAGCUUUGCAGAGUCACUUCAAUGUGUUGGCCCUGUGGCAGCCAUUUUAAAAUAUGUCAAAGAAAUAUAUUUUGGGAUAAAAUAAUUUGGUUUCCUUCAGUGUCUGCUAUCUAUCAUGUGAUGCUAUACCAGAGUCAGGUUGGAAAGUAAGCCACAUUGUGUCAGGUUAAUUUUAAAAAUCGAAUUAGAUUUUUAUAGUUUGUAGGGCAUGACUCCCCAGACCCCUUAGAUAGGAAUUUCAAGAUCAGAGUUUAGUCCUCAUGCCAUAGGAAAUCAAAAGACAAGUUAUAGACUGGGAAGAAUAUUUGCAACACUUAAGAAGAGAGGUGAUAUUGAAACUGCCUUUGCAAAAAUUUUAACAGUGAGAAAAUUAUAACAGUGAAAGAGAUCUGAUCCAACCAACCCCCAUCUUGCCUUUAAACUCUAAACUGCCCUUGGUCAUCCCUGGGCAUGGGCCAAGCUAACUGGGGGAAAUGCAGUUUGCAGUUUAGAUGAUAAUAGCCCUUCCCCAAAACUAAAGCACCUUUGUAAAACUAAUGAGGCCGGGCACAGUGGCUCACCCCUGUAAUCCCAGCACUUUGGGAGGCCAAGGUGGGUGGAUCACCUGAAGUCAGGCAUUCAAGACCAGCCUGACCAAUAUGGUGAAACCCCGUCUCUACUAAAAUUACAAAAAUUAGCCGGGCGUGGUGGCCGGUGCCUGUAGUCCCAGCUACUCAGGAGGCUGAGGCAGGAGAAUCGCUUGAACCAGGGAGGCAGAGGUUGCAGUGAGCCGAGAUAGUGCCACUGCACUCCAGCCUGGGCAACAGAGCAAGACUCAAUCUCAAAAAAAAAAAAAAGAAAGAUGAAAGGGGCCUGAAUUUUGCUAAGAUGUAGGUGGAGUUAAAUGAUUAAUGGCCAUUGUUCCAGAGACCACAAGAUUUGCAACUUCCCCUGUUAAUCCUGUAAAUAACAUCACUAUUGUAGAACCUAAGAUUGGCCUUUUGAGAUGUCUUUUCAGGUUUUUGCAUUUAUGGUGACCGGAUGGCUCCACUCCGGACUGGCAAGAUGGACUCAUGACUCAACUGGUCUUGUGGCCCCCACCCAGAAGCAGACUUGGCACACAAGGACCAUUUUCCACACCCCUAUAAUUGCACUUCCAACCAAUCAGCCCCCUGUCUGACAAACUAUCCUUGAAAAACCCUAACUUCUGAGUUUUCAGGGAGAUUGAUUUGAGUAAUAAUUCAUCUCCCACGUGGCGUGGCCAGCCUCAUGUCAAUUAAACUCUUUCUUUCUUUUCGAGAUGGAGUCUCACUCCAUCACCCAGGCUGGAGUGCAGUGGCAUGAUCUUGGCUCACUGCAACCUCCACCUCCCAGGUUCAAAUGGUUCUCCUACCUCAGCCUCCUGAGUAGCUAGGACUACAGGCAUGCGCCACCAUGCCUGGCUAUUUUUUUUGAGACUGAGUCUCGCUCUGUCACCCAGGCUAGAGUGUAAUGGCAUGAUCUUGGAUUACUGCAACCUCUGCCUCCUGGGUUCAAGCGAUUCUCCCACCUCAGCCUCCCAAGUAGCUGGGAUUACAGGCACAUGCCAUCAUGCCCAGCUAAUUUUUGUAUUUUUGUAGAGACAGGAUUUCACCAUAUUGGCCAGGCUGGUCUUGAACUCCUGACCUCAGGUGAUCCACUUGCCUUGGCCUCUGACAUUGCUGGGAUUACAGGCAUGAGCCACCAUGUCCGGCCUUAAUUUUUUGUAUUUUUAGUAGAGACGGAGUUUCACCAUGUUGGCCAGGCUGGUCUUGAACUCCUGGCCUCAAGUGAUCCACCUGUCUCAGCCUCCCAAAGUGUUGGGAUUACAGAUGUGAGCCACCACACCCAGCCAAACUCUUUAUUGCAAUGCCAUGGUCUCAGUAAACUGAUUUUGUCUGUGCAGUGGGCAGGAAGUGUUACCAGCAGCAAAUCCAACGGGUCUAUACAGCAAACUCGAUUCUUGCCCCCUUGGAGGAAAGAACUUGGCCAAGGGGCAGAAGGCAGAGUGAGAGACCAAGGCAAGUUUUAGAACAGGAGUGAGAGUUUAUUUAAAAGUUUUAGAGCAGGAACUAAAGGAAGUAAAGUACACUUGGAAGAGGGUCAAGUGGGCAACUUGAGAGAUCCAAGUGUGCUGUUCAGCCCUUGACUUGUUUUAUACGCUGGCAUGGUUCUGAGAUUUCCAUUUCUCCUCUGUUUUUCCUUGGAGUGGGCUGUCUGCAUGCACCAUGGCCUGCCAGCACUUGGAUGAGGCUGCACGCACAGUGUGUUUACUGAAGUUAGGCACAUGCUCAUUUGAGGCAUUUUUCCCUUACCAGUCAAGCGUUCCUAGAGGAAUGUCAUACACCAGUUAAACUCCGCCAUUUUGCCUCUUAGUGCACAUACUUGAGCCCGUUUGCCUAACUCCUGAUAUCUUAUUUGGAAGUUGCUCAUUACCAGCUUCAGGUGUUUCUAUCCAUUGAGAGAUUGCCUUUCUCUGGUGCCAGCUGCGACCAAUUAUUAUUUUAGCAAGACAGUUUAACAACCACCUGACCAUCACCUGAUGGUUGCCUGGGGAUUUGGGGGCCUUCUCCUGCCCUGUUCAUGUCUGCCUAGCUACCUAUUCUAACAGAAGGACCCACUGGAUGAUUACAAUGUCUCUAAUAAAAAAAUAUCCCCACAAACUGCUAUUUGUAAAAUAUGUAAAAGUGUUUAUGUAAAAGUGUACGUAUGUAAAAGUGAACAUAUGAAUAGAAAAUGGAAAAGGAGUCUGGGCGAGGUGGCUCAUGCCUGUAAUCCCAGCACUUUGGGAGGCCAAGGCAGGAGGAUCACUUGAGGUCAGGAGUUCAAGAUCAGCCUGGCCAACAUGAUGAAACCCCAUCUCUACAAAAAUACAAAAAUUAGCUGGGCAUGAUGGUGUGUGCCUGUAAUCCCAGCUACUCAGGAGGCUGAGGCGGAGGUUGCAGUGAGCCGAGAUCGCACCAUUGCACUCCAGCCUGGGCGACAGAGCGAGACUCAAAAAACAAACAAACAAAAAGUGCUACUUGUUAAAACAUUUUAAAGGAUAAUUGAUCUGAAUUGCCCAUUGGAGAAAGAAUAUCCUCAAACAAAGCACAGUGGUGAAUAGUAUUUGCCUAUGUGUUCUGGUAAUUUUUCACCAGCUGAGCUAGUGUAAUCAUCUUGCUAAAGAAAAGUUCUACAGUUCUAAGUAAUCAUGUUGAUUUGAAAUACCACUUACGCAACAAAGUUGAAUUGUACAUCUUUUCUUCCCCCAGCAGAUGGUGACAUUUUAUAGAAUAUGGAAAAAUUAUCCAAAUGGAUGAGUGAGCUAUAUAACUGAAAUAUAAUCGUCUCUAUUUCAUUUCUCAUUUAUCUACAUCUUGAAUUCAUUUACAAAAAGGCAUUCAUCAGGAAGUAACAUUUAAAGACUAUGCUUUCAGGGGUCAUUUGUUUUUCUUUUCUUUUCUUUCUUUCUUUUUUUUUUUUUUUUUGACAGGGCCUCACUCUGUCAGCCAGGCUGGAGUGUAAUAGUGCCAUCAUGGCUCACUGCAGCCUUGACAUCCCAGGUUCAAGCAAUCUUCCCACCUCAGCCUCCUGAGUAGCUGGGACUACAGGCACACAGCAUCACACUGGGCUAUUUUUAAAAUUUUUCUGUAGAGACAGGGUCUCACUGUCUUGCCCAGGCUGGUCUCAAACUCCUGGGCUCAAGCAAUCCUUCCUCAGCCUCCCAAAAUUCUGGGAUUACAGGUGUGGGCCCCCAUGCCCAGCAAGGGAUCGUUUCUAUAGUUCCUUCCUAGGAAAGUUUCUCUGAACAUGUAGAGCAUGUUUUUUAAAAAGUAACAUUUAUGAAAAGAAGACUAAGAACAAUUAAAAAAUAACAUAUAGAAAGUAGAAUUUUUCAGGCCAGGCAUGUCAUGCCAGCACUGUACACCUGUAAUCCCAGCACUUUGGAGGCUGAGGUGGGCAGAUUACUUGAGGUCAGGAGUUCGAGGCCAGCCUGGCCAACAUGGUGAAACCCUAUCUCUACUAAAAAAAUACAAAAAUUAGCCGGGCAUGGUGGCAGGUGCCUGUAAUCCCAGCUACUUGGGAGACUGAGGCAGGAGAACCGCUUGAACCUGGGAGGUGGAGGUUGCAGUGAGCCGAGAUCGCACCACUGCACUCCAGUCUGGGCGACAGAGCAAGACUAUGUCUCAAAAAAAAAAAAAAAAGAAUUUUUCAAUGUCUUCAAUUCUUAGUUUGCACAGUGUUUUUACUAGAUAUUUUCUCAUCAGGUCACAUCAGCCUACCUAUUUACAAAAAUAAAAUAGUAAGGACAAAAUGCUAAAGAGGGCAAAUCUGUCUUUAAUUAAUGUCCAUCUCAGGCCAGGCAUGGUGGCUUACACAUGUCAUCCCGGCACUUUGGGAGGCUGAGGUGGGAGGGUAGCUUGAGCCCAGGAGUUCAAGACCAGCCUGGACAGCAUAGUGAGACCCUGUCUCUAAGAAAAUGUCCACCUUUGAUUUCUCUUCACUCCUUUUUUCCAUGCAGGGCCUUCACUCUUCUGUUUCUCAAAUUCCUUCUUUAGUAUUAUUUCUUCCUUCCUUUAAGCUUCACACAGUAAAGUUUGCUUCCCUACUUUCUAACCGAGAGUAUAGCAUAUAAUUAAAAUUCAUUCUUAGGUAUAUGUAAUUAGUAUUCUCAGCUUAAUGUGCCAAUUAUACCAGGGAUAUUUCAUUCACUAGUUCAAACGGAACAUCAAUUGGAGAUCUCUCAUCUUUCAGAUAUUCUUGCUGAGCUCACAGUCCAUCCAGAAAGAGAAACAAAUUCAUAACACUAAUGUAAGAGGUUUUCUUUCUUUUUGAGACGGAGUCUCACUCUGUCCCCCAGGCUGGAGUGCAGUGGUGCAAUCUCAGCCUGCCGCAACCUCUGCCUCCUGGGUUCAAGCGAUUCUCCUGCCUCAGCCUCCCGAGUAGCUGGGAUUAUAGGCACCCACCACCAAGCCUGGCUAAUUUUUUUAUAUUUCUAAUAGAGAUGGGGUUUCACCAUGUUGGCCAGGCUGGUCUUGAACUCCUUACCUCAAGUAAUCCACCCACCUCAGCCUCCCAAAGUGCUGGCAUUACAGGCAUGAGCCACUGUGCCUGGCCAUAGGAGAUGUUUUAAUGCAGCUGUGUACAAGGUGGAAACCUAGAAAAUGAAUCAUUAAUUCUGUUGAAUGAACUUUAUAUGUGAGCUUCAAAUUUAAGUGAGAUAUGACAGACUGAAAUGUGAACAAAAGGUAUUUUAGGCAGAUGGAACAACUUGAGCUCAGAUAUAGAAGCAUCAAACUGUUCAGCAUUUUUGUGAAACCCAGAAAAUUCUGACUAGAACUCACAGUAUUAAACAGUCAGUGUGCCAACAGAAUUGGGAUACAGGACGGAGGAGGAAGAGAGAGGAAGCAGUGGAAAGAGACUGCAGAGGUAGAUGAGAGCCAGACUGGGAAAAUCCUUAGAAGGCAGGCCAAGGAAUAAGGACAGCACUGUAAAAACCCUUAUGAGGUGUCCUAAGGAGUGUGGACUUGAUUCUGCUGGCCCCAGAUAGCCUUCUUAAGAAGGUGUGGAGAUGGUAGAGGAUGGAAGCAGAAAGACCAAUUAAGAGAUGAUGGAUCACACAAAGCUAGAGAGGAAAAGCACAAUGUGGAUUGAUGAAUGGUGGCGUCUUGUUGGGGGGAGAGUUAAUGAUGGAGGCAUAUUUAAGAGAUAUUUGCAUGGUAGACUUAUGGGGCUAGGAUGUCUGAUUGGAUGUGGUGCCCGAGAAAGGGAGAGGCAUGCCCAAAGAUGACUGUGGGGUUUCUAAUUCUGGCAUCUUGCUGUGUAAUAAUAACAUUCAAAACAGAAAUUCAUGAGGAAUAGCAGAUUUGUAGAGGAUUUGCUUGGGGACAAGAUGAAUGUGGGGCACCUGGGUUGGGGGGACAUCAGGUAGAGGUGCUGAGACAGAAUUGAAAACAUGAGACUAACUGGAGUUCAGGAGAUAAAUCUGGAGAUGAUUUUUCUUUGGGUGGGGGAGGGACAGAGUUUCACUCUUGUCACCCAGGCCAGAGUGCAAUGGCGUGAUCUUGGCUCACUGCAACCUCCGCCUCCUGGGUUCAGGCGAUUCUCCUGCUUCAGCCUCUCGAGUAGCUGGGAUUACAGGCAGGCACCACCACGCCCAGCUAAUUUUUGUAUUUUUAGUGGAAACGGGGUUUCACCAUGUUGGCCAGGCUGGUCUCGAACUCGUGACCUCAGGUGAUCCACCUGCCUCGGCCUCUCAAAGUGCUGAGAUUACAGGCAUGAGCCACCAUGCCCAGCCUGGAGAUGAUAUUUAAGAGUGAAUAAUGUAAACUUGUUGGGAGAAGCCAUGGGAAUUGAAAAUCUCAGGUGGUUGAGUACAAGAAGAGGGGGCCCAACAUGGAACCUUGGAUUCCCAAUAUUUUAGGUUAGGUAGAGGCUAUGAAGAGGAUUAAGGAGGAGCAAGAAAUGAAGCGAUGUUUAAGUACAAAAGAUGGUGAGAAACUCCUCUCACAGCACAACUUGUAUACUCAUGGGAGAUGGAGUGGUAUACAGUGAUAUCCUAACAAUCUCUCUAGAGUAAUCCUUGCCCCACUUUGACCAGAGCUUGGAAGCCUGUCCAGUCUUCACAUUAGAAAGUCAACAUUUUAAGAAUGUGAAGAAGUAAGAGUGUUAUAAAAGAUGCCUGACCUACACCAUGUAAUUAAUUUUCCUUUUUGUUAAGAAAAUGUUGAAAUUAGCAAACGUGGCUGGGGGCGGUGGCGCACACCUGUAAUCCCAGCACUUUGGGAAGCUAAGGCAGGAGGAUUGCUUAAGCCCAGGAGUUCAAGACCAGCCUGGGCAACAUAGUGAGACCCGCAUCUCUACAAAAAUAAACAAAAUUAGCCGGGUGUGUUGGCACAUGCCUGUGGUCCCAGCUACUUGGGAGGCUGAGGUGGGAGGAUCGCUUGAGCCCCAGAGAUUGGGGGCUGCAGUGAGCUAUGAUUGCCGCCACUGCACUCCAGUCUGGGCUUCAGAAUGAGUACCCAUCUCUUAAAAAAAAAAUACUAAAACUAAGUUCUAUUACAAUUUAUGUUUUACUUCUCAUAAAAUAAAUUAUACAUAUUAUCACAAGGAAGAAAAAUGUGUAAAAUUAGAAAAAAUUCCUGUGAGAAGCCACUCUUUGCCCAGAAAAUAUGUUUGUUUAUUGAUUUAUGUUUUUAUUAGAAAACUCAAAAGGACCUGGUAAGUGUUCUGCCACUGGAUUUCAACAGGAAAUCACCAUUUCUGCCCUCUGGGAGGUAGUAAAAAAGAUUGGAAUACCUCCUCUUUUGAAGAGGUCAGGAAGUGUGGUAGAUGCUGUCCAGAUUCUCCUUCUGGAAUAAAGGAAGUAUUCUCCAGCUGCUGGGAGCGGUGCCCACAGAAAACCCUCAGCUGUCAGCAACUUCAGUGAUUGCCUUGGCUAAAAAGAGCUGCCUCACCCAAAGUUGCAUCCUUCUAGGGGUCAGCCUGCAUCUAAUAGCUGAAAAACAGGGGGCCCAGCCCUCUCCCCUCAACAAGCGACAACUCCGAAUAACCACCUCAUCUUCAAAGAUCACCAUGUGGUAGACCAAGAGAGACAAUGUUGGGCUUGUGCUGCCACCUGACUUGCCCCUCUGCCCAAUCCUACAUCCUUCCCUUCCCUUCAAUAGAUGUUGAUCUCAAGGGCCCUCUCUAAUAAAUCUCCUGGGUGCAGAGUUUGAAACCAGCCUAGCCAACAUGGUGAAACCUCAUCUCUACUAAAAAUACAAAAAUUAGCCAG